rnacentral:rRNA from 1 species
UACGUAGGGUGCGAGCGUUGUCCGGAUUUAUUGGGCGUAAAGAGCUCGUAGGCGGUUCGAUAAGUCGGGUGUGAAAUCUCCAGGCUCAACCUGGAGUCGCCACUUGAUACUGUCGUGACUUGAGUUCGGUAGGGGACCAUGGAAUUCCUGGUGUAGCGGUGAAAUGCGCAGAUAUCAGGAGGAACACCAGUAGCGAAGGCGGUGGUCUGGGCCGACACUGACGCUGAGGAGCGAAAGCGUGGGGAGCGAACAGG